rnacentral:rRNA from 1 species
UGGGGAAUUUUGGACAAUGGGCGAAAGCCUGAUCCAGCAAUGCCGCGUGUGUGAAGAAGGCCUUCGGGUUGUAAAGCACUUUUGUCCGGAAAGAAAUCCUUGGCUCUAAUACAGUCGGGGGAUGACGGUACCGGAAGAAUAAGCACCGGCUAACUACGUGCCAGCAGCCGCGGUAAUACGUAGGGUGCAAGCGUUAAUCGGAAUUACUGGGCGUAAAGCGUGCGCAGGCGGUUUGCUAAGACCGAUGUGAAAUCCCCGGGCUCAACCUGGGAACUGCAUUGGUGACUGGCAGGCUAGAGUAUGGCAGAGGGGGGUAGAAUUCCACGUGUAGCAGUGAAAUGCGUAGAGAUGUGGAGGAAUACCGAUGGCGAAGGCAGCCCCCUGGGCCAAAUACUGACGCUCAUGCACGAAAGCGUGGGGAGCAAAACAGGAUUAGAUACCCUGGUAGUCCACGCCCUAAACGAUGUCAACUAGUUGUUGGGGAUUCAUUUCCUUAGUAACGUAGCUAACGCGUGAAGUUGACCGCCUGGGGAGUACGGUCGCAAGAUUAAAACUCAAAGGAAUUGACGGGGUCAUAGCUGUUUCCU